rfam:Caenorhabditis tropicalis strain JT1373 unplaced genomic scaffold Scaffold630, whole genome shotgun sequence.
CCAACGGCCCUCUUUAGGGCCACAAACGUUGAUCCCAUUUUAUUG